rnacentral:tRNA from 3 species
GGAGGGGUGGCCGAGUGGUUAAAGGCAGCAGACUGUAAAUCUGCCCUCUUAUGAGUACGAAGGUUCGAAUCCUUCCCCCUCCACCA